rnacentral:rRNA from 1 species
UUCCGGUUGAUCCUGCCGGACCUGACUGCUAUCGGAUUGAUACUAAGCCAUGUGAGUCGUUGUAGCAAUACAAGGCGUACGGCUCAGUAACACGUAGUCAAUCUAACCUAUGGACGGGGAUAACCUCGGGAAACUGAGGAUAAAACCCGAUAGAUCAUAAUUUCUGGAACGGCUUAUGGUCCAAACGAUUCGUCGCCGUAGGAUGGGACUGCGGCCUAUCAGCUUGUUGGUGAGGUAAUGGCCCACCAAGGCUAUUACAGGUACGGGCUCUGAGAGGAGAAGCCCGGAGAUGGGUACUGAGACACGGACCCAGGCCCUAUGGGGCGCAGCAGGCGAGAAAACUUUGCAAUGUGCGCAAGCACGACAAGGUUAAUCCGAGUGUUUCCUGCUUAAGGAAUCUUUUGUUAGUUGUAAAACCACUAUCGAAUAAGGGGUGGGCAAGUUCUGGUGUCAGCCGCCGCGGUAAAACCAGCACCUCAAGUGGUCAGGAGGAUUAUUGGGCCUAAAGCAUCCGUAGCCUGUUCUAUAAGUUUCCGGUUAAAUCCAUUAGCUCAACUAAUGGGCUGCCGAAAAUACUGUAGAACUAGGGAGUGGGAGAGGUAGACGGUAUUCGGUAGGAAGGGGUAAAAUCCUUUGAUCUAUUGAGGACCACCUGUGGCGAAGGCGGUCUACCAGAACACGUUCGACGGUGAGGGAUGAAAGCUGGGGGGAGCAAACCGGAUUAGAUACCCGGGUAGUCCCAGCUGUAAACGAUGCAGACUCGGUGAUGCGCUGGCUUGUGGCCAGUGCAGUGCCGCAGGGAAGCCGUUAAGUUUGCCGCCUGGGAAGUACGUACGCAAGUAUGAACUUAAAGGAAUUGGCGGGGGAGCACCACAAAG